rnacentral:misc_RNA from 1 species
AAGUCGUAACAAGGUUUCCGUAGGUGAACCUGCGGAAGGAUCAUUAUUGAAUUUUAAAAUCCAACUUUUGCUUGUGCAUUUGCUUGCACGCUUGGUUGGCUCUUUUUAAAUUUCUUCUCACACACCUGUGCACCUUUCGAGUGCGCUGCGGGGCGUUUUUCGCCUGCAGCGGCGUGUCUCGCAUUUUUACACCUUUUUUGUAUGUCUUUUGAAUGUAAAUUUUGGUUGCUCUGUGAUGGAGUGACUGAUUUAAAAUUAAAUACAACUUUCAGCAACGGAUCUCUUGGCUCUC